rnacentral:rRNA from 1 species
CAGCAGCCGCGGGAAUACGGAGGGUGCAAGCGUUAAUCGGAAUUACUGGGCGUAAAGCGCACGCAGGCGGUUUGUUAAGUCAGAUGUGAAAUCCCCGAGCUUAACUUGGGAACUGCAUUUGAAACUGGCAAGCUAGAGUCUUGUAGAGGGGGGUAGAAUUCCAGGUGUAGCGGUGAAAUGCGUAGAGAUCUGGAGGAAUACCGGUGGCGAAGGCGGCCCCCUGACAAAGACUGACGCUCAGGUGCGAAAGCGAGGGGAGCAAACAGGAUUAGAUACCCGAGUAGUCCCUGUCUCUUAUACA